AUGGGGUGGGGACAGGAAGGAGUUCUGACAAGACUGCAAGAUCUACACAGACCAAAGCAGCAAAGGAAACGCAUGACAAAAGAUAAGAUGGAGGAGAGUGCAGCCAAGUUUGAUCCAGUGAAUGAACCAGGUGAAGCUCAACACUCAGAGAAGAAUGAUGAAAGCACAGGAGGAGAGUCUGAAAUGAAGUCUGUACCAUCCACAACCAGUGAGAAAGGUAACAUUAACCAAGAACUGAUUGUACAGUCACAUUGAUUUUAUAGAUUAUAUUUCAGUGGAGUUUUUAACAGAAUUAGAUUAUUUACUUUUAUUUUGUCAGUGCAUUGACAGAGUGCUGUCUGUCUACCUUUUACAGUGUUGUUUCAGUGAU
rnacentral:lncRNA from 1 species